rnacentral:rRNA from 1 species
AGUGAACGCUGGCGGUAGGCCUAACACAUGCAAGUCGAACGGCAGCACAGUAAGAGCUUGCUCUUACGGGUGGCGAGUGGCGGACGGGUGAGGAAUACAUCGGAAUCUACUUUUUCGUGGGGGAUAACGUAGGGAAACUUACGCUAAUACCGCAUACGACCUACGGGUGAAAGCAGUGGAUCUUCGGACCUUGCGCGAUUGAAUGAGCCGAUGUCGGAUUAGCUAGUUGGCGGGGUAAAGGCCCACCAAGGCGACGAUCCGUAGCUGGUCUGAGAGGAUGAUCAGCCACACUGGAACUGAGACACGGUCCAGACUCCUACGGGAGGCAGCAGUGGGGAAUCUUGGACAAUGGGCGCAAGCCUGAUCCAGCCAUACCGCGUGGGUGAAGAAGGCCUUCGGGUUGUAAAGCCCUUUUGUUGGGAAAGAAAAGCAGCAGGUUAAUACCCCGCUGUUCUGACGGUACCCAAAGAAUAAGCACCGGCUAACUUCGUG